rnacentral:lncRNA from 1 species
CCAACUCAGGGAAAGGCCCAAUCGCCCCAAAAGACUAGUCCAAUGGGGGAAGGGUGGCUCUCCCUUUUAAAGUGGCUUCCUCCUCCCAAGUUAAGCAAGGUGGGAUAAAUCUGAGGCUCACACGGUCACCGUCCGACUACAAUUGGGCCAACUGGGCCAACUGCGUCUUUACAACGGGUAAUAGUGGAGGAUGUCCUCAUCAUUCCCACCUUCUUAAAAUGGGCCCUAGCUCCGAUACCAGAUGAUACACCCAGCCCAGGUGGGGUUGGCCAAGGCCCAACAAAUUAGGGUUGCCCGGAGCCCAACAGUUCAUUAAGCACACCCAACUCAGGGAAAGGCCCAAUCGCCCCAAAAGACUAGUCCAAUGGGGGAAGGGUGGCUCUCCCUUUUAAAGUGGCUUCCUCCUCCCAAGUUAAGCGAGGUGGGAUAAAUCUGAGGCUCACACGGUCACCGUCCGACUACAAUUGGGCCAACUGGGCCAACUGCGUCUUUACAACGGGUAAUAGUGGAGGAUGUCCUCAUCA